rnacentral:rRNA from 1 species
AUGAAGUUCUCUGUGUCCCCUGUUGUGCGUGUUGCUGUUCAAUGCAAGGUGGCCUCUGAUCUUCCUAAGCUUGUUGAGGGUUUGAAGCGGCUGGUGAAGUCUGACCCUAUGGUUCUCUGUAGCAUUGAAGAGUCUGGUGAGCAUAUCAUUGCUGGAGCUGGAGAGCUUCACCUUGAAAUCUAUUUGAAGGAUCUGUAG